CACGGGGUUGCGAGCGUUGUCCGGAAUUACUGGGCGUAAAGGGUGCGUAGGUGGUUUCUUAAGUCAGAGGUGAAAGGCUACGGCUCAACCGUAGUAAGCCUUUGAAACUGGGAAACUUGAGUGCAGGAGAGGAGGGUGGAAUUCCUAGUGUAGCGGUGAAAUGCGUAGAUAUUAGGAGGAACACCAGUUGCGAAGGCGGCUCUCUGGACUGUAACUGACACUGAGGCACGAAAGUGUGGGGAUCAAACAGGAUUAGAUACCCUGGUAGUCCCUGAGCGGG
rnacentral:rRNA from 1 species